GACGAACGCUGGCGGCGUGCUUAACACAUGCAAGUCGAGCGAGGUCCAUCCGGUGGCAACACCGGGGAAGACCUAGCGGCGAACGGGUGAGUAACACGUGAGCAACCUGCCCCGAAGACUGGGAUAACACCGGGAACCGGUGCUAAUACCGGAUGCCCUCCUCUGGUCGCAUGGCCGUAGGGAGGAAAUGAAUUUUGCUUCGGGAGGGGCUCGCGGGCUAUCAGCUUGUUGGUGGGGUAACGGCUCACCAAGGCGACGACGGCUAGCUGGUCUGAGAGGACGACCAGCCACACUGGGACUGAGACACGGCCCA
rnacentral:rRNA from 1 species